AGUGAACGCUGGCGGUAGGCCUAACACAUGCAAGUCGAACGGCAGCACAGUAAGAGCUUGCUCUUACGGGUGGCGAGUGGCGGACGGGUGAGGAAUACAUCGGAAUCUACUUUUUCGUGGGGGAUAACGUAGGGAAACUUACGCUAAUACCGCAUCCGACCUACGGGUGAAAGCAGGGGAUCUUCGGACCUUGCGCGAUUGAAUGAGCCGAUGUCGGAUUAGCUAGUUGGCGGGGUAAAGGCCCACCAAGGCGACGAUCCGUAGCUGGUCUGAGAGGAUGAUCAGCCACACUGGAACUGAGACACGGUCCAGACUCCUACGGGAGGCAGCAGUGGGGAAUAUUGGGCAAUGGGCGCAAGCCUGAUCCAGCCAUACCGCGUGUGUGAAGAAGGCCUUCGGGUUGUAAAGCCCUUUUGUUGGGAAAGAAAAGCAGCAGGUUAAUACCCCGCUGUUCUGACGGUACCCAAAGAAUAAGCACCGGCUAACUUCGUG
rnacentral:rRNA from 1 species